rnacentral:rRNA from 1 species
GAGUUUGAUCAUGGCUCAGGACGAACGCUGGCGGCGUGCCUAAUACAUGCAAGUCGAGCGGAUCUUCAUUAGCUUGCUUUUGAAGAUCAGCGGCGGACGGGUGAGUAACACGUGGGCAACCUGCCUGUAAGACUGGGAUAACUUCGGGAAACCGGAGCUAAUACCGGAUAAUCCUUUUCCUCUCAUGAGGAAAAGCUGAAAGACGGUUUCGGCUGUCACUUACAGAUGGGCCCGCGGCGCAUUAGCUAGUUGGUGAGGUAACGGCUCACCAAGGCGACGAUGCGUAGCCGACCUGAGAGGGUGAUCGGCCACACUGGGACUGAGACACGGCCCAGACUCCUACGGGAGGCAGCAGUAGGGAAUCUUCCGCAAUGGACGAAAGUCUGACGGAGCAACGCCGCGUGAGCGAUGAAGGCCU